GCAGUGGUGGUUCAGUGGUAGAGCUCUUGCCUUCCGUGCAAAAGACCCAGGUUUGAUUCUGGCCAAUGCA
rnacentral:tRNA from 1 species